rnacentral:rRNA from 1 species
CGAGUGGCGGACGGGUGAGUAAUGUCUGGGAAACUGCCCGAUGGAGGGGGGUAACUACUGGAAACGGUAGCUAAUACCGCAUAACGUCGCAAGACCAAAGAGGGGGACCUUAGGGCCUCUUGCCAUCGGAUGUGCCCAGAUGGGAUUAGCUAGUAGGUGGGGGAAGGGCUCACCUAGGCGACGAUCCCUAGCUGGUCUGAGAGGAUGACCAGCCACACUGGAACUGAGACACGGUCCAG